CAAAUUUGUUGGGUGCAUGAAUGAAUGCGUACAGGAACCAUGUAAGAAGUCUGACUGCCCUGCUGGAGAAAUCAAAUGGAGAGGUCAAGAGACAACAUGGAGAGAGAACGCACAGCCCAGCUGAGCCCAGCUUUCCAGUUAUCCCCACCAAUGCGCCACACAUAUGACGGAAGUCAUUUUGGUCCCUCCAAAACAACCUAGCCAGCCAGCUGGAUACCACUGAGUGACCUCAGUAGAUGCCACGUGGGACAGGAGAAUUCUCUAGUGAGCUUUGCCCACAUUCCUUACCCACACAGUCAUGAGUAUAAUUAAAUGAUUAUUG
rnacentral:lncRNA from 10 species